UAGGAUUCUAGAUGUUGGCCACCGGUGCCCAGCAUGGCGUGCGUUUUAUUUUAUGUCUUGAUGCCAUUAGGCUGAUCUUUAACUCAAGUAAUUCUUUUGCUGGGACUACAGACAGGAACUGCCCUUCCCAGCUAUCAACUACUUUUUCGGUAGGUUGCUAAGCUGCAAAGAGUCUUGCCUGGCUUGUGCUAGUCAGAGAGCCUGUGGAGGUGAAGGUGGAUGGAUCAGGAACUUGGGGUUUCUCUCACCCCAGGCUCCAUUUUACCCUCCAAAUUCUAAACACAAUUUCUAACAAGUGUCCAGUAGAGAGUGGAUGCCUAUGUCCUCUAGAGGGAGUACUUGGCCUGGGGGCUAUGAGAGACCAA